rnacentral:lncRNA from 1 species
UUCUCUUUUAACUCCUCGGGGUGCACAUCUACUCAUUAACCAUUUUUUGUUAAAUUCUAUCAGGACACUGAGGACCAAAAUGGGCACAAGAAAUUAAUCAUCAGCUGAUCACCAGGCCAGCUUUAGUAAGAGAAUCACGUCAGUUAGUGCUGGCUCGGCUGCCAUUGUUCUUGUUCCCUGACCCAAAAAACAUUCCUCGCUCAAUAUUAAAAGUGUGCCUUUAUUGUUCCCCAAGAUUUUCUACAUCAGAGACACUAGCAAAAAAAUAUAUUAGCCUAACUUUACUAACAAUCGACAUCACCAAACUCUUUCUAAGGAUGGUGGUCGUUGCUAACACUCUGUACCUUUAAUACCUUUCUGAGGCUGGUGGAUGAAUCAUUAACCUGCAUUAAUCGGCAAUAAUGCUUAAAAUGGACCAGUCACUAAUACUGUAAGUACCAAUGGCAUUGCCCAGUGAGGGGCUGGAAGCCCCCUCAGAAUUUUCACACAACUCCUAGGUUUUGAGGGAUGUGUAGUGUGAGGGCAGCAACCAGAGCAAAACUCUUUAACAGCAUGAAGACUUCAGGACACAUAGUCCUCGGGGCUCUGCCUCUCUGAGUCUCACCCAUCACGGUUGCGCUAAUCAGUGGGCCACACUCCACAAGUUCUAACACUGUGUUGCUCUUCCUCUUGUGUGACCCCACCAGUAUUUGCAUCAUUUCCAUCCUUUACUCUCUUCCCAACUCCUCCUGUGUCUCUCUUCUAUUCUCUUUCAAAUUCAUGACCACUUCUUUAAUAUUACUAUUACAUGUAUAGACACAUGUUCAUAUAUCUACCACUUACUAAGUCCCUUAGUGUUGGCUGUAUGCAUAUGUGUUAGGGCUGACCACUUGGGAUUGGCUAACCUAUUAGGAAGCUCGCCCGUAAAGAAGACUGAGUCUCCUUAAACAUGGGAGACAUGAACGGAACAACCUCACAUUGUAUCCAGAACCAGAGAAUGUCACCUGUAUGUUAGAAGAUUUUUCUUUUGUAUUGUUUACUUAUUUAUUUUAACAGCAACUUCAAAAAAAUCAAAAUAGACCCCCAGACUUUCACCAGGGGCCUGUGUUCCCCACUUCAUACAUCAUAUAACAAUUACUGCUCAGCAGAACUAAAUAAGCACAAGAGGCCAGAGGAGGCACCAUCAUGAACAAAGCCUGUAGUCGGAGAAAGCUAGAGGUGAGACAGAGAUAAAAGACCCCAGUUCUGGGCAGGCUGGGCUGUGUGCACAGGGUUGUAGCUACUUCUGCAAAGGUCCAUGACCACUGCUUCAGUGAGAAUGUCUAUUCCUUUUAACUAGCACCUCAACACUGUCACCCUGGUUGUCACCCAGCUGGCUAGAACCAGAUGACACCUCCAGCUUGAACUGGGAUCCCUUCCAUUUUCUUGGACCUUAUGAAGACUUGUGGCUCCUUAAGUGUGGCUGGUGCUGGCCCUUGCAGCGCACUCAGGUCUCUGUUGGGAAAAGAUGAGAAGAGUUGGUUUCAAGUCACUGGUGUUUAAACCUUAAGCAGUUCAAAGCGAACACAUCCAGUGCUCCUUCUGGCUUGAUUGGCUAGAAUUUGUCGUCAUCAUUGAUAGCAGCUGGGCUUAAAUUCCCCUUUGUACUACCCACAGGAAGGAAGAGUCUGUGGCCAGCACUGCUCCCUGUAGUUCAGAGCUAGUGCUGAUUGCUUCUUAGCAUGUAUUUACUUUAGUUACUUAGUUAGUUAGUUAUUGGUAAUCAGUGCAAGUCAGUGAAAUACUACUGGCAUCUGCAUGCAUUUAUUUGAAGUAUUUUUUUCUUAUUUCAAUGAAACAAAAAUUAGAUGCUACUGGAAGUUUUCUGUUCUGUUAUACUUAUCUGUCCAUUACAUAGAACGUCAGGGCCCAGCUCUACACAGUGAGCUUCAUGUCAGAGCUCAAGGCUCUUCUGUGUCCCCAUACAGACUGAACCAUCAACACUUACUUCUUUAUCAAGUAUAUAUAUAUGUGUGUGUGUGUGUGUGUGUGUGUGUGUGUGUAUGUGUGUGUAUAUGUGUGUGUAUAUAUAUAUAUAUAUACAUAUACAUACAUAUAUAUAUGUAGUGCUUGAAAAUGUUCUGUAAAAACACAUUUAACUUUUAUUUUUCAUACACAUAAAUUUUGUACUUCACUCAUAUCCACCCAUCCAAAAUAAUAUUUCAGUGUAUCUUGAAGGCCACUCACUUACACAUACUUAGUUUUUGUUUCCAAUGUUGGCAGAGUUUAAGCAACAUUUUGGAGACAAAGAACUAAAUAAGUCAAAUUAAAAUUACUUCCUUUUACAGGAAAUUACAUUUUUACUUUUAUUGAUAUAAUUCUUAUAUUUAUGAGGCAGAGUGGCAUGGUUCUGUUUGUAUAUGCAAUGGGUUUAAAUCAAACAAGCAUACUCAGCAUCCAAAACUGCCUUAUUCUUAUACUAUAUUCUAAGUGAGCCAUUCUACAUCUUCAUUUCACAUAACUUUAAAGUUGUCAUUUUCACCACUAUUCAUUCUAAGCUCUCGUACUUACUUUCAAAGAAAACACAGGUAAAUCCCAUCAAAUGUGAAGGAGGUAGGUCUCAGCCCAGGUCCCGUUCCUCAGCACAAGGCCAAUACAGGCAAACAAACCACCACCCACUGCUGCAGGAGGCACCAGGCCCCAGACUGGAAUUAUGAACCAGGUUCUUUGAGCUGAAGGAUUCACACCACACAGAGAAUAAAGUCAUCAUUUGUGAAGUAUGGAGUCCUGGCAAACCCCCUUGAACGUUAUAAAGAGUAGAUAGCACAACAGUUUGAAUAGGUAACAUUGGGAAUGUUCAGGGCAAGAAGAUGGAGUUUAGAUGCAUCUGCAGCUAUAUCGCCAACAUUGUGAUGGCCAGUUAUAUGUCAUCUGUUGAUGUGCCCAUGGCAUUUGUAGACAGCUAUAUCUCACCUUAGAAAUCCUCAUUUCACUUGGGUAGUGGUGGUGCAUGCCUUUAAUGCCAGCACCCAGGAGGCAAAGGCAGGGGGGUCUCUGAAUUAGAGGCCAGCCUGAUCUACAGAGCAAGUUCAAGGACAGUCAGGACUACACAAAGAAAUCCUAUCUUGAAAAGCAAAAGCAGACAGACAGAGAGACAGACAGACAGACAGAGAGG